rnacentral:rRNA from 1 species
AUUGAACGCUGGCGGCAGGCCCAACACAUGCAAGUCGAACGGUAACAGGAAGCAGCUUGCUGCUUUGCUGACGAGUGGCGGACGGGUGAGUAAUGUCUGGGAAACUGCCUGAUGGAGGGGGAUAACUACUGGAAACGGUAGCUAAUACCGCAUAACGUCGCAAGACCAAAGAGGGGGACCUUAGGGCCUCUUGCCAUCGGAUGUGCCCAGAUGGGAUUAGCUAGUAGGUGGGGUAACGGCUAACCUAGGCGACGAUCCCUAGCUGGUCUGAGAGGAUGACCAGCCACACUGGAACUGAGACACGGUCCAGACUCCUACGGGAGGCAGCAGUGGGGAAUAUUGCACAAUGGGCGCAAGCCUGAUGCAGCCAUGCCGCGUGUAUGAAGAAGGCCUUCGGGUUGUAAAGUACUUUCAGCGGGGAGGAAGGGAGUAAAGUUAAUACCUUUGCUCAUUGACGUUACCCGCAGAAGAAGCACCGGCUAACUCCGUG